rnacentral:rRNA from 1 species
CAGGGGGAACCUGAUGCAGCACGCCGCGUGAGCGAUGAAGGCUCUUCGGGAUCGUAAAGCUCUGUCUCUUCUGGGAACGAUAAUGACGGUACCUGUAGGAGGAAGCCCCGGCUAACUACGUGCCAGCAGCCGCGGUAAUACGA